AUACAUGCAAGUCGAGCGGACCAAACAGGAGCUUGCUCUUGUUUGGUUAGCGGCCGACGGGUGAGUAACACGUGGGUAACCUGCCCGUAAGACCGGGAUAACUCCGGGAAACCGGAGCUAAUACCGGAUAACACCGAAGACUGCAUGGUCUUUGGUUGAAAGGCGGCUUCGGCUGCCACUUACGGAUGGGCCCGCGGCGCAUUAGCUAGUUGGUGAGGUAACGGCUCACCAAGGCGACGAUGCGUAGCCGGCCUGAGAGGGUGACCGGCCACACUGAGACUGAGACACGGCCCAGACCCCUACGGGAGGCAGCAGUAGGGAAUCUUCCGCAAUGGACGAAAGUCUGACGGAGCGACGCCGCGUGAGCGAAGAAGGUCUUCGGAUCGUAAAGCUCUGUUGUUAGGGAAGAAGAAGCGUCGUUCGAACAGGGCGGCGCGGUGACGGUA
rnacentral:rRNA from 1 species